GUCUCUUUAAGAGUCGCACAGGGAUUAAGAAGGAAAGAGGACCUAAUGUCAGUACACCAAGGUAUAGUUUAAUAACUUCUUGCAAACCCUUACAUAGUACAAUUUUGAGUAACCGUGCUACUGGAUAUAGGUGUUACAGCAUGCUAAUGUUUCAACCAACUGACAUAUUGCAAGAAAAGGGACACAAUAUAACAGCUAAAUUGUUACAUCCACCAAUACUUCUGCAAUGCUCCAAAUGAAUGAAUCAGAUAUGAGAAUUGUGUAAUUGUAUGUAAGGUUAUUUCUAUGUAUCUCUAAAACAGCAGCCUAUAUAUUGUUUUAU